rnacentral:rRNA from 1 species
AGAGUUUGAUCCUGGCUCAGGAUGAACGCUGGCGGCGUGCUUAACACAUGCAAGUCGAACGGACAGGUAAUGAAACCUAGUGAUUUAUCUGUUAGUGGCGGACGGGUGAGUAACGCGUGGGUAACCUGCCGUAUACAGGGGGAUAACACUUAGAAAUAGGUGCUAAAACCGCAUAAGCGCACAGGAUCGCAUGGUCCGGUGUGAAAAACUCCGGUGGUAUACGAUGGACCCGCGUCUGAUUAGCUUGUUGGCGGGGUAGAGGCCCACCAAGGCGACGAUCAGUAGCCGGCCUGAGGGGGUGAACGGCCACAUUGGGACUGAGACACGGCCCAAACUCCUACGGGAGGCAGCAGUGGGGAAUAUUGCACAAUGGGGGAAACCCUGAUGCAGCGACGCCGCGUGAGUGAAGAAGUAUUUCGGUAUGUAAAGCUCUAUCAGCAGGAAAGAAAAUGACGGUACCUGACUAAGAAGCCCCGGCUAACUACGUG